rnacentral:rRNA from 1 species
UGGGGAAUAUUGCGCAAUGGGGGGAACCCUGACGCAGCCAUGCCGCGUGAAUGAAGAAGGCCUUAGGGUUGUAAAGUUCUUUCGGUAUUGAGGAAGGUUGAUGUGUUAAUAGCACAUCAAAUUGACGUUAAAUACAGAAGAAGCACCGGCUAACUCCGUGCCAGCAGCCGCGGUAAUACGGAGGGUGCGAGCGUUAAUCGGAAUAACUGGGCGUAAAGGGCACGCAGGCGGUUAUUUAAGUGAGGUGCGAAAGCCCCGGGCUUAACCUGGGAAUUGCAUUUCAGACUGGGUAACUAGAGUACUUUAGGGAGGGGUAGAAUUCCACGUGUAGCGGUGAAAUGCGUAGAGAUGUGGAGGAAUACCGAAGGCGAAGGCAGCCCCUUGGGAAUGUACUGACGCUCAUGUGCGAAAGCGUGGGGAGCAAACAGGAUUAGAUACCCUGGUAGUCCACGCUGUAAACGCUGUCGAUUUGGGGGUUGGGGUUUAACUCUGGCGCCCGUAGCUAACGUGAUAAAUCGACCGCCUGGGGAGUACGGCCGCAAGGUUA